rfam:Citrus sinensis cultivar Ridge Pineapple sweet orange scaffold00144_contig_11, whole genome shotgun sequence.
UUACAUACCUGGACGGGGUCGAUGGGUGAUCAAGAAGGCCCAUGGCCUAGGCUUGUGGCUUCCAUUGCACUCAAGGGAUGUGCACUAGCCUAACAUCUCCCUCUGAGGAGACUGUACGUCAUAAUUUGUGGUAGUGGGGACUGCGUUCGCGCAAUCCCCUC